rnacentral:rRNA from 1 species
GAUGAACGCUCGCUGUGUGCCUAAUACAUGCAUGUUGAACGGGAUGUAGCAAUACAUUCAGUAGCGAAUGGGUGAGUAACACGUACCUAACCUACCUUUAAGACUGGGAUAACUAUUGGAAACAAUAGCUAAUACCGGAUAUAGUUAUUUAUCGCAUGAUGAGUAAUAGAAAGGAGCUUCACAGCUUCACUUAAAAAUGGGGGUGCGGAACAUUAGUUAGUUGGUAGGGUAAUGGCCUACCAAGACGAUGAUGUUUAGCCGGGCCGAGAGGCUGUACGGCCACACUGGGACUGAGAUACGGCCCAGACUCCUACGGGAGGCAGCAGUAAGGAAUUUUCCACAAUGAGCGAAAGCUUGAUGGAGCGACACAGCGUGCAGGAUGAAGUUCUUCGGAAUGUAAACUGCUGUUAUAAGGGAAGAAAAAAUAGAAUAGGAAAUGAUUUUAUCUUGACGGUACCUUAUUAGAAAGCGACGGCAAACUAUGUGCCAGCAGCCGCGGUAAUACAUAGGUCGCAAGCGUUAUCCGGAAUUAUUGGGCGUAAAGCGUCCGUAGGUUUUUUGCUAAGUCUGGAGUUAAAUGCUGAAGCUCAACUUCAGUCCGCUUUGGAUACUGGCAAAAUAGAAUUAUAAAGAGGUUAGCGGAAUUCCUAGUGGAGCGGUGGAAUGCGUAGAUAUUAGGAAGAACACCAAUAGGCGAAGGCAGCUAACUGGUUAUAUAUUGACACUAAGGGACGAAAGCGUGGGGAGCAAACAGG